rnacentral:lncRNA from 10 species
GGUCACGAUCUCAUUUUUUGUUGCUGGCUGCAUAGUAUUCCAUGAAUGUUAGCCUACCACUACUAGGCUGAAAUCAGGAUGACGCAAACUGGACCUCCGGACAGGCAAUUACUGAAGAUGAUCAUCGGAACCAGACACACAGACCUGUACACUCCUGCAUCACCCCCAGUUGUUUCUCACACCAAGUUUUCCUUCUUAGAUCCCUUCCCUCAGCACCGGAAGUUGGAAUGAUAUUUUAAAGGCAUGAGCCCAGCCAUAUCUCAACUGCUACCAGCUGAAUAAGGCUGCUUUUUUUCCAUCACACCUCACUUCUUGGGUUUUCAGGCUCUGAGUGGCAAGCAGCCAGACUUGAGCCAGUUACACAAUGACCGAACUGCUCAAUGAUGUCUCAGCACAUAUCUUCAUCUUUAUGUGAAACACUUUAACAAUACCUAAAUAUAGCUACCCGGAAAUAUUGCAGUCCCUUGAUCCAUCUUUUUUUUUUUUUUUUUUUUUUGUGAGACAGAGUCUCAGUCUGUCACCCAGGCUGGAGUGCAAUGGUGCAAUCUCAGCUCACUGCAAACUUCCACCUCCUUAGUUCAAGAGAUUCUCCUGCCUCAGCUUCCUGAGUAGCUGGGAUUACAGUCACGCACCACCAUGCCUGGCUAAUUUCUGUAUUUUUAGUAGAGACGGAAUUUCACUAUGUUGGCCAGGCUGGCCUUGAAUUCCUGACCUCAGGUGAUCUGCCCGCCUUGGCCUCCCAAAGUGCUGGGCAUUGAUUCCAUUUGUCUCUAUUUCCUCGCUCAUAGCAAUACAAACUGUAUGUCUCAAGGCCAUAUUUCAAAUGGAAAGUUGAGAAGCCCUGCAUCUCUUGGGAAGCCAUCAUGAAGUUUUGGGAUAAUGCACAUAGUCUGAGAUAGCUUUUUUCAGAGACAUGGUCACAUAGACACAAUCAUACCAAUCUGAGAAUAAAAUAAAAUUGCAUUCAGUUUUAAAAAUGGCACAGUAUUCUUUCAAGGGACCUACAUUCUACAGUUGUUCUCCCAUAGAAAUAUCACAGGGUUGCUAAGUUAUCUGGAGUAAGUGAAGGUAUACCUUUCGCAGAUGUAUUAUUUAUAUUUUAAAUAAACCAAACACGUUUUCUGGUUCCUAAAGUAUCAGUUUUCUUAUAUACAAAUUGAAACCACCUAAUAUAAUUA